GUAAGACCUCAAAUCCUGUCUCUUACUAGCAUUGGAUUAAUCCUGAAACUAGUCAUGAAGGUUUCAGGCAGCAUGAAGCAUGCAGAUGACACAAAUUACAUGAUAGUCACAGAAUUCUCUGAAGAGAAUUAAGCUGAAGGAUUUUUGUCAGCAAUAAACACCCUCCUUAGUGAAAUGGGAAGGAUCAAGUCACUGAAAUACCCCCACAUCUUCAUCUAAUAGAGGCUUCAGGAGCGAGGCCUAGCAAGAAACAAGGCUCCGAACGCGACAGCAUCUCGUAGCAAACACCUACUUAACCCUAGACACGGUCUCUGAUGCAAAAGCACAUGGCUGUACAAACACCUGGAGCAAGGCAGGUAAAACUGUACUCUUCUCUACAGUCUGAAUCUUUCCUCCUAGCCCUCUCUCUAGUGAGCUCCAACAGCAACUACCUUUUAAGAGAGCCUAAUGGCUGGACUUGAUGAUCUGAUCCUAAAGGUCUCUACGUCUUUUCCGUCUGUUAAACCGCCGUGGGCGGCGCUGCGCCCGCCCGCUCCCCGUCGCAGGCGGGAGGCUGACUGACCGUCCCACACCGCCCCCAGGCAGGCGCCGCGCCCGACCGCGGGGUGCUCCGCUCCCCCGGCCGGAGCCGCCCAUGAGUACUUCCUCCUUUCGGCCAGCGGCGCUGGCUAAAGGAAACAAAGAGAAACAAGCUCUCAGCCACCCCAGGCGCCAGACUUUCGCCCUCUCCCGAAGCACACUUCUCCACCUGGACAGGUAGCCCCGUCAUCGCCCGCUGCAGAGAGGCGAUGGGGCCCCUCCACAGGAGUCAGGGGCUCUCCGGCGGCCGGCCGGCCCGCCACAUGCGGCAGACCCGCUCCUCCGCACACAAAGAGCCGACGCUCUUCAGGCGUUGACCCCCGGCGCUUCCCCACUCUCUCACCGGUGCCCCGGUCCCUCUCGUCGCCUUCAUCUUCCUCCUCUCGCUGCUGCCCAUCCCGCUCCCCGCCCUGCGCCUCCACCGGCACCACCGUGAAGCUCGUCGGCAUGGUGCAGACGGCCCCAGACCCGCUGGCGCCUCCUCCUAGGGCAGCGGGCAGGGUGAGCCGGGCGCUGCCGCCUCCCUCACGUGAGAGCCAUUUCCUCACGCAGCGGGGGGGCGGUGGCCGGCACCGCGCCACCUCCCCCUCAGCGCCUGACUGAUGGCGCUGCGGCCGUAGCUCCGAAGGGAGGGGCUCGGGCAGGGGCCCGGGCCCUGGGGCAUCCUCUCUUUCUCAAACCUUGCCUUACAGCUAUCCUUACAGCGCUAAGACCACCAGGCUGCUGCUCCUCUGAUCCCGCCAGACAGAAACUGCCUUCCAAAGGAAACUAGAGCCAGGCUGUAGGACCUUAAUCCUCCGGAUCACUGAACAGAUGACAGCAUCCAGAACGCCCAAGCAGGAGAUUUAUGAUCACCUUUUGGACAAGUGGAGGAGAAAGUCCACUGCACACAUUUGGACUACCAGGAGAUUAAGAUGGCUCCCAGAAAUCUGCUCUCCUGUGCAGCAGACAUGGUUUGCAGUGGACAAGUCAAGGUCCUGUGGUUCAGGCUGGAGUCACCAUUUAAACUCUGACUGGAAGUGAAGCAGAUUCAAAGAGUCAGUGGAUGAGUAGUGUAUCAAAUUACAUAUUAAUGAUGUAGCACUAGUGAUGAGAUACAGCUCUUGUUUACCUCCAACUUCUAUCUCAAAGGAAGUUGUAGCAUCUCCACUCCAAAAGUAGAGAAAACAGAUUUAGAAGCCAAGGGCAUUUUUCUUGUCUCCUGCUCUCCUAUCUUCUCAAUCACAAUGCUAGAAUAAAGCAGAAAUGCUAUUCAUGUCAGUCUGUAUCUGUGUCUUUUGGAAGAGGACUCUGGUUGUUUUGUGGGUCCCGUACUUCAUUGGGAUGGAAGAUGUCUAUGUAACACUACAGUCUGUCCCACAGCAUAGAGGCCUUCAGAGAAGGGGGUGGGGAAAGUGAUUCUGGCCACCAAAGGUGGCAGUAAGAUGGCAGAUGUGGAGAUGGUGGGGCAGGAAGAAAAGGACAGGGAGAGAUGCACGGUAACAUUUUGAUACUUGGUAAAUGGGCUUCCCAUUCAAACCAUGGUGUCACUGUGGUAACGAGAAUAGUGGUUUGCAUGAAAAAGAAGUUUCUUCAUCCUCCCUCACCCUUCUUCCAAGCUUAAGAAAGCAACUGGAAUGGUUUCUUUGCUAAUGAUAGCAGAUCUCCAAUGUUAAUGAUGUUAUCUGCAGAGUUAAGGAUGUUUUGGGGCACUUUUAAAGUUCAUUUUGUUAUGGUACAUACUAUUAUCAAAAUUAAUAGUGUGAAGGAAUCAGAUACAAUGAUAAAUUAGAAUAGUAAAUGUAAUUUUGAAAUAUAUACACAAAAUAAUAAUUUCUUCUUCAAAACAAGAACUGAUUUUUGUCCCAGGACAGAGCUAAUUUUUUAAUGGUGACUGUGAGGGAGCGGAGCAUUGAACUAUGUGUGCCUGUCUAGGUUGUUAUUCUAUCCCUUCACCAUCAUCACUGGGGCAAAAACAAGGGAUUCUUGUCUGGAGGGUCUGUCCACCACUAGUUUUCAUUGUCCCAGGUUUAGUGAGCAUAUUUGCAUGUAAAUCACUCUUUCUUUGUACAUUUUUGUUAUUAGUAUUGCUCCUGUUACUCUUCAUUUUCUUAUCUCCUUGCUGUUUCCAGUAAAUUGCUCUUACCUCAA